rnacentral:rRNA from 1 species
AUUGAACGCUGGCGGCAUGCCUUACACAUGCAAGUCGAACGGCAGCACGGGAGCAAUCCUGGUGGCGAGUGGCGAACGGGUGAGUAAUAUAUCGGAACGUGCCCAGUCGUGGGGGAUAACUACUCGAAAGAGUAGCUAAUACCGCAUACGAUCUACGGAUGAAAGCGGGGGAUCGCAAGACCUCGCGCGAUUGGAGCGGCCGAUAUCAGGUUAGGUAGUUGGUAGGGUAAAAGCCUACCAAGCCUGCGAUCUGUAGCUGGUCUGAGAGGACGACCAGCCACACUGGAACUGAGACACGGUCCAGACUCCGACGUGAGGCAGCAGAGGGGAAGUUUGGACCAUGGGCGCAAGCCUGAUCCAGCAAUGCCGCGUGCAGGACGAAGGCCUUCGGGUUGUAAACUGCUUUUGUACGGAGCGAAAAGGUCUCUACUAAUACUAGGGGCUCAUGACGGUACCGUAAGAAUAAGCACCGGCUAACUACGUGCCAGCAGCCGCAGUAA